GACGUAGGAGGCGAGCGUUAUCCGGAUUCACUGGGCGUAAAGCGCAUGUAGGCGGAUGUCUAAGUCGUGUGUUAAAGCCCCUGGCUCAACUGGGGGAGGUCAUGCGAGACUGGAUGACUUGAGGGCAACAGAGGCACGUGGAACUCCCGGUGUAGCGGUGGAAUGCGCAGAUAUCGGGAAGAACACCCGUGGCGAAGGCGGCUCUCUGGAACGGUACUGACGCUGAGACGCGAAAGCGUGGGGAGCGAACAGG
rnacentral:rRNA from 1 species